AUCGACGCAGGUGCUGUUUGUGCAAAUCAGGAAAGCGCACCUGUGAACUACCGACUUUUUUUUUUUUUUUUUUACUUAUGAGGUGGUUUAUGGUCGUAUUUGCUUGCUUUUUUAUUUUCUGGCAAGUUGUUUCUUCGUAAUCUGGAGUCUAGAUGGAAAUGGACAGUGGAUCAGCCGCAAAGAUUAGGGUGAAUAGCAGAAACAACGAAACGUCUUAAAGUUCUCCAGGAUUCACAGACACGAUGACGCUCUUCUGCCUUGGACCCCUCUUGUUUCUUUUGAUGGCACUGCCCCCGCUGGUGAGUUUUAGCAUUGCAGCUACCACGAGGGUGCAUCCCUCCACCGCCCUUCCGCGGAACCAGCAUUACAGACACCGGGGAAUGGUAUCUGGUGUGAAGGGGAGCUGGGGUGUAAAAAAAUGCGUGGAGGACAGCAUUCCUCCACGUUGCUGUGCUGGGAGCCAUGCAGGGACGGCAUUAAACAAAGACGCUGAGCUCGCCAAUAGCCAUGUGUCUGAUCCCACCUAGAGCGAUGCAUUUGUUCUCGCAGUCCUCUGCUCUCUCGUUGAUCGUCCACCUCGGAGACGGCUGGGCCUGUACCAGCGAGGCCUUCGGCAUAUUGGAGAAUGA